AGGCAAACAGUUUUAACUGCCACUUUCAUCUUGGAGAGGGAGGAGAGCAGCUGACUGAAAAUGGUCAGGGAGGAAAUGGCUGCCAUACUCUCCAAAGCCUGCUUAUGUAUAAGGCAAAUGAGUUCACUGGGAUGCAGUGAUGCACAACACCAUAACCAUUCAAGGUCAAUGCAAGAUCAUGGCAGGACACAAGAAAUGAGGAGCAAAGGGCAGAUAGUUGUUUCUUCA
rnacentral:lncRNA from 11 species